rnacentral:rRNA from 1 species
ACGAACGCUGGCGGCGUGCUUAACACAUGCAAGUCGAACGGGAUUUAGUAAACGGAAGCCUCGGUGGAAGAUUACUAAUGAGAGUGGCGAACGGGUGAGUAACGCGUGAGCAACCUGCCUAUGACAGUGGGAUAGCCUCGGGAAACCGGGAUUAAUACCGCAUAAAAUCGUAGAAACACAUGUUUCAACGGUCAAAGAUUUAUCGGUCAUAGAUGGGCUCGCGUCUGAUUAGCUAGUUGGUGAGAUAACAGCCCACCAAGGCGACGAUCAGUAGCCGGUCUGAGAGGAUGAACGGCCACAUUUGAGCUGGGACACGGUCCAAACUCCUACGGGAGGCAGCAGUGGGGAAUAUUGCACAAUGGGGGAAACCCUGAUGCAGCGACGCCGCGUGAACGAAGAAGGUAUUCGUAUCGUAAAGUUCUGUCCUAUGGGAAGAUAAUGACAGUACCAUAGAAGAAAGCUCCGGCUAAAUACGUG